CCGCAGAGAGGAGCUGGAGAGGAGUCACUAGCAUCCACUGUUUGUAGCUACGUUAGCUCUGUCAUUAACUUAGUUGACCAGCCUUAUUCUUACAGCCGGCUGGACGCACGAAAGCCGUGGAGGUCUGUCAGUUUUACUACAAUACAGACGAGUAGAGCAGUAGGUGAACUAAGUAACAUUUCGGGUGGAUGAUAUCAGCGGAGAUGUGUAAUAAGCUGCAUUGGACACUAAGGACCUACCUGUAUGCCAGUCUAUCAACUGACAGCUGUCACCGCACCUAGCUGCUUAGCUUAGUGAGCUAAGGGCUAACAAGUGUUUUUUCGGGGCUCAUAACCGGGCUAAUUUAGCCAACCAGCGCUGCUCUCGGUCCAGAGUGGAAAGCGGUGACUUCAGUGUGGACAUUAUAUCUUAUUAUUUCCUCAGCUAUAUUUGACUCCGCCUGCUGUUCAAACUAUGAGCUAGCAAAGGAGCGUCGCACAAAGGUGUUUGGAAUAUUUUGAGGUCCAGCUAGUUAGCUAGCAUUUAGCUUGAAGAUAGCUGGCUGCAUUCAUUCAAUUACUGUAAAACUGCUCCAGCGUUAACACCAGCACCUCGACGAACAGGGGUUGGUUAUAUCCACUCAUAUUUGUUGUUACAAUACGAAUACAUUUUGGACUUGUCCGUGCUUUGGUUAACCUCGGUGGGAAAUGAAGAAAUUUUUUGACUCUCGUCGGGAGUUGGUGGGCCCUGGGCCUGGCUCCGGAGUCGGCGGAGGAGGCGCUGGUUCCGGCGGCGGUGGCAGCUUCAUCGGACGGGUCUUUACCAUUGGACGAUAUCAAGUGACCGUCGAGGAAAUUGUCGCCGAAGGAGGUUUUGCCAUCGUGUUUUUGGUGCGGACCCACCAAGGCCUACGUUGUGCACUCAAAAGGAUGUAUGUCAACAACGAACAUGAUCUGCAGGUCUGCAAACUUGAGAUACAGAUUAUGAGGGACCUAGUGGGCAACAAAAACAUAGUUGGUUUCCUGGACUCAAGCAUAACUGCUGUUGGAGCUGGCGAUGUGUGGGAAGUCCUAAUCUUAAUGGACUUCUGUCGAGGCGGGCAGGUGGUUAACCUAAUGAACCAGCGGUUACAGACGGGCUUCACUGAAGCCGAGGUGUUACAGAUCUUUUGUGAUACAUGCGAGGCGCUCGCUCGCCUCCAUCAGUGCAAGAGUCCAAUCAUCCAUCGAGAUCUCAAGGUGGAAAAUAUUCUUCUGCACGACCGUGGACACUAUGUGCUCUGUGAUUUUGGAAGUGCCACUAAUCGCUUCCAAAACCCUCAGACAGAAGGGGUGCCAGUCGUGGAGGAGGAAAUUAAAAAAUACACUACUCUGUCGUACCGCGCUCCAGAGAUGGUCAACCUCUAUGGUGGAAAGAUGAUCACGACAAAGGCUGACAUUUGGGCCAUGGGCUGUCUACUCUAUAAGCUGUGCUACUUCACACUUCCUUUUGGGGAGAGCCAAGUGGCUAUCUGUGAUGGAACUUUUACUAUCCCAGACAACUCUCGCUACUCCCAGGACAUGCACUGUCUCAUCAGAUACAUGCUGGAACCUGACCCAGAUAUAAGACCAGACAUCUACCAAAUAUCCUACUUUGCCUUUAAACUGGCUCGACGAGAGUGUCCAGUCCCAAAUGUAAAUAAUUCACCUAUUCCUGCAAAACUUCCUGAGCCUAUCAGAGCCAGUGAAGCAGUGGCCAAAAAGAGUCAAACCAAAGCCAGGCUCACAGACCCCAUUCCUACCACAGAAACCUCAAUUGCACCUCGACAACGGCCCAAAGCUGGCCAGGCUCAGCCCCAGCCGAUAUCAGGCAUUCUCCCCAUUCAGCCAGCUCUCACUCCACGAAAAAGACCCAAUGUGUCCGCAGGAGCACCCCAGGCCAUAGGUGUUGGUAUCAGUGUCCCAGCUGCAGCUGCUGUCCAACCUGUCCAACAGGCUCUUGUAGCACAGGCUACACCACAGUCAGCUCAGACACCCAACAUGCAGCCACAGGCUACACCACAGCAUCAGCAGCUCCUCAUGAAGCAGCAGCAAGCCACAGCCUUCUUAAGCCCACAGAGUAACCAGCAGCAUCUACUGGUACAGAGCUUCCACCACCAGCAGCAGCAGCAGCAACAACAACAAACAGCGUCUCAGGUGUCUUCCCUGCCGCAGUCCAAAGCUAAGCCUGUUCCUCCAGUUGUUACCCUGCAACUGCAACACCAGCAGCAGCAUCAUGUAGCCCCAGUACAUGAAACAGCAGCUUCUCAUCUGACCCCCAUCCCUGAGUCUGCAGUCAUUGGUCCUGCAGCUGACCCAGAGGUUUUGUCAUCUGGCCGAGGGAUUCACAAAGUCGGGUCAUUGACACCCCCCUCGUCGCCAAAGAUGCCCACUAAGAGUGGCCACAGACGCAUCCUGAGCGAUGUCACUCACAGUGCCGUGUUUGGGGUCCCAGUCAGCAAGUCCACCCUGCUACUCCAGGCUGCCGCAGCUGAGGCCAGCCUCAACAAAUCCAAAUCGGCUAGCACCACUCCUUCUGGCUCCCCCUGCUCGUCCCAGCAAAGUGUGUAUCAUCCAGGUGAUAGUGAUGCCCAAGCUGCCCUUACUGCACCCAACACUCAGCCCAGCUGGAACCCCUUUGGGGAUGAUAACUUCUCCAAGCUAACAGCAGAGGAGCUGCUUAACAAAGACUUUGCAAAGCUAUCUGAGACUGCUGCACCAGGAGAGAAGGUCACAGGCUCCAGUGAAAGUCUCAUUCCAGGGCUCAAUGCUUUUCCAGAUGAAAGAUCUGCAGACGUCAUGAGUGCAGGUUCAGCGUUGUUGACUGCCCAAGACCCUUUUAAUACCGUCUCCCUCUCUGACACCACAGAGAAGCUGAUUGAGGGACUGAAGUCCCCUGAAAAUUCUCUGCUGCUCCCCGACCUCUUAACCCUGGCUGACCCCUUCAGUAGUUCUGCAGAGAGCUCCACCAAUGCAAAGGCAGAUGUGUGUGUGGAUUCACUGAUUCCUGGUUUGGAAGCCCCCCAGGCCCAGCGACAUUCAGGCCAGCCAGAGCUCAUCCCUGCCAGCAUGCCAGACUCUCUCACUGGAGAGGACUCUCUCCUGGGUUGCGAUCUGUUAUCUCAUACUUCUCCUCAUGGAAGCCAGUCUGUUUCUGGUCUCCCUUCCUCUUCCUCCUCCACCUGCUCCUCUGCUCCUCCGGGCUCCGGCUCUGGAUCCUGUCUGGAGGAGCUGCCGCCUGGCCAGACUGCUUCUGACUCUGCUUUCCUCAUGUCGUGUGGGGAGAAGGGCAAUGACGACGAGUUUGACCCUAUUCCUGUGCUCAUCUCCAAAAACUCAAAUCAAGGUGGUCACUCGCGCAGCAACAGUGGCAGUUCAGAGUCCAACAUCCCCAACUUGGCCCGCUCCCUUCUGCUGGUGGAUCAGCUCAUCGACCUCUAGAGGGGGUGGGAGAGGUCGAAGGGGCAGUGUGCAAUCCUAACAAAGGGAAGGGAGGGUGGGGGGAUAGAGAUGGGGAAGCAGAGGCACUUAAUGUAGCACCUUUUGAAGUUAAAUGGAGGAGCCAGCAUAGAUUGGUGCAGUGGAAUCUUUCUUUUUAUGUGCCUCCUUGGCCUCAACUCCAUCUCUAGUUGCCUGAUAAGCUGGUUUCAUAUAAAUCUGCUGGCCGUUGACAUUCCCACGCUGGUAAAAACCUUUUCAUUAAUGGCUGAGCAUAUCGUCUGCUUCUGUCCCGGCUACGUCAUGGUCUUCCUCAUGCUUUCCUCAUACUUGCAUUAAUAUCCGUCAUUGAGUGCACUGCCAUGGUGGUCGCCUUCCAUCGUACGCACGUUUCUGCUUGAUCACAGCUGCAUCGUGUUCACUCUGUGUACUUGUUCAGGGUUGAAGCUUUAUUUAAACACGCCACCUUCAGGCAUGCUCAUUUGUGUCAGGGGUCUGACUAAAGUGUGAGGAGUCAAAAUGCUUUUGACCUCCAGGAUAAUGUUUCCUGUGAACACUUUGAACUAAACUAUUGACCAAACAAAGACGCACCCUGGAGGAAACCCCUGAGAGCUGUUUGCACUGAUUGAACCAGUUUGUAAAGAAGAAAACUUCAGCUUUGGGCAGUUUUUACAGAGUCCUUAAACUGUUGUGGUUUACUGUACUGGGAAAGGAGACAGUCUGCGCCACCUUAGGAAGUCAAAUCAAUUUAAUUCUGUGCUCUGUUCCCAUAUAGACCAGUGGCCAUGUUUUUACAGCUAUUUAUCUAAGCUAAUGUAGUAGGAUGUAAUGUAGGAAAAGCCGUAGCUUCAGCAUAACUGUAUAUUGUCACCACGCAGGGUGUUAUUCCUCCUAAAACUACACCUGUAAAUCAGUCGCUUGUGGUGAUGUCAAAAUCCUGAAUCUGGUGAAGUCAGUGUUAACAUGGGUGAUUAAUUCAGCUCCAUUACCAUGGCAGGAUGCUUUCACUGGCAGCAUUAUCUACAACACUUUAUAAGACCAUUAAUAUUAUGUGUGCAUUUUAUAAUUACAUGUGUUUCUGUGUAGGGUCAUGUAUUUGACUCAUUGUCAAGAUAAGCACAGCGGAAACGAAAGGGAAUCAAAUAAUUUGACCUGUAGCCAUGCCAAAGCUAAAAGGACAGUCUUUAUUAUUUUGCUGUGUUUGGCGUGUGUCUGUCUGCUUUCAGGGUCAGUGAAGAUGAGCAGAUUUUUAGCAGCAUACCACUGUUAUAGAGAGGGAGGUACAAUGUAGAUUUCAUUGUGUUAUUUUGUGUAGGUUUUGUGCUAACAAAUAAGCUUUAAAUGAAAACCUCCCUCUCCCAUUGACGUACUCCCUGUCUUAUCUAGCCAACCUUUUCUUACCAGAUAUGUAGAGGUCACUUGGCCAAUGUGACUCCUUUAUAUGUACAUAAAAUCACUAUACAUUUAUUUUCUCAUUAGCACUGGUAAAAGUAGAUUUUGUUGUGUGUGUGUGUGUGUGUAAUAUUUAAAGGCAUUUCAUCUAUCAUGGUAUGAAUACAUGUGGCAAUUUAUUGAUAAUGCUUUAGAAUGAAUGUAUAAACUGCAACCAUUAUGAAAUAUGUAAAAUGUAUAAUGAUAUAUAGAUUUAAAAAAUAUUUAAAUAUGAAGCUGUAUUUAAGAGUGCAAAGAUGUUCACCCUUUCCUCUGUCCAAAGUCCCUCUGUCUUUUCUCUCCAUUCACGUCAAGCAUUCAGCUCGUGCUUUUGUUUUUAGGCGUCGUCAUCAAUUAAUGAAACAAAGUGCUUAUGACUUACCUGAUUUGGUAGUAUUUUUUUUUUCUCAACCGCGGUUCUUUACAUAAUACUGGUACUUGUAAGUUGACUGAGAUAGAUUUGUAUUUAACAGGCAGCAAAACAGAGCUAAUGACGGAAUUUAUUUCCUGAUAUCUCUGUAGCACCUCUCACCUAUGAUAGCUGUUAUUUCAUUAGGCUGAUGAUCAUAAGAAAGGCUUUUGUGACUUGAAAAACACAACUGACUUUGCAUUACAUCUUUGAUCUCAAAAUCCCACCAAGUAUUACCUUUCAUUCAGGCUUUUCUCUAACCAAGGAAGGUGGAUUGCGUAUAGGCAUUAGUCUCUUUUUAUAAAUGUCACCUUAGAUAUGUAUAUACAAAACAAUAAACGGUACACUUCUUCUCCUCCUCCCUCCAGUAUGACAUAUUGUAAAGGUCAUAGACAUCAACAAUACUGUAAGAAUUAGCAUGGUUAUAAAAAUAUGCUUUUUUCUUUACAUCUCAUAGUUCAGUUAAGUCAUUUGCAUUUUUGUGGCUAAUCUAUGCAAUCCUACAAUAAUGCUUCAUGUUCUUAUCAGACACUACAGUGCUGUAUCCUGUAGAGUUAUAGCCUUGGCCGUAGAGUUUUACCUGUGUUGCCAUGUGAAACCAGUGUACUUGUUGUUGGGUUGAUAUGGUGGCAAGUAUAAAAAUGACUUUGAUUACAUCAAAAUGUUUGACAUGAUUUGGCAAAUGUCCAUAUGUCAAAGCAGGACUAUUGUGGAGUGUGUACUUCUAUUUUUAUGAAUUAAGGUUCAAAAAGAGAGACACUGAAUAAAAGUCAUUAAUGUGAAUGGGUCAUAUUAUUUGAUUUUUACUCGGAAGGGCAAAAGAGCCAUCUGACUUUAUUGACAGUCUGAAGAUUGGCUCUUCCGUUUUCAUUGUUUUAAUUAGCAGAGUUUUUUCCUUCUGGGAACAAAAUUAGAUUACAGACACUCUGAUGUAACUUGAUGGUAUCUGCUCAAAUUUCAGUAUUAUUUAGCGAUUGCCUUACACUAUAGAAAUACGUUUGUACCACUUGGUGCAAGCAUCAGCAGACACUUGUCUGUCUGUACAGUUGUCCUUACAAGCUUUAAAGGACUAUUCCAGUGUUUUCUGGGUUUCCCUGUCUAUUCCUUUUGUCUCACCUUGUUAUGUCUCAGUAGUUCCUAGAUGUUGGUAGACAUGUGUUUUAAAAUCAUGUUACUGUUCACUGCUGGUGUGAUUCCAGGCCAGGGACCUUGAUAAAGGGCUUGUACCACAAAUAGACUAAACUGUAUAAUGAGGAAUUGAUAGCUGUUGUUUCACAUGAUUACGUGAGCAGUCUCUGAUGAUCUGUAGGCCAUUGUUCAGUUUGAUUAACUCUGGAGUGCAACAAUGUGAAAUGGGCUGUGGAUAGUUUAAAACAGAUACGUGAUGAAGGACAUUACCCAAGAUGUAAAACAAAACAAACACUGCUGUUUUCCUCUAAUGGCUGCAACUAACAUCUCCCCAAGAACUGCCAGUUAACAGCUGCUGUCUACUCUGCUGAGAUAUGCAAGGGGAGAGUAAUGGCUACUCUGUGCUUGCUGAGGGACAAGAGUCUGAACCUCCAAUGGGAGAUCCUCAAACAAACGAGGGGUGUGUGCACUCCAGCGACGAAGAUGAGGAAAAG